UUUAUGAUCUUAGUUUUUAUUUAUUUUUAAUUUAUUGCUUCACUCUAAUACAACCGCCUCUUACACUUCUCUCUCGAAUUCUCUGUCGGUGCAACCCCUUCUCUGUGCAAACCUGCCCAAAUCCAUCAUUCGUCGUCCGCCGUAACGACGAAAAAGAAGACAAGCUCCGAUCCUCCAUCGACGACCCUCGAUUCUUUGGGGUUAGAUGACGAUAUGAGCGACCUCAUCGUCGCCGACUUACUGCCACCAUGGUCCAACAUAUUUCUCGACGACAUAGUAGACGAAUCGAUAUGGGCAAGCACUUAUGAAGGCUGGAUGGAUGUCCCCAAGACUGAGGAGCAGGUGGUUUGAGCGAAGCCUUCUACAAGUGAUGACAUGUUGUGAAUCUUGCUACCCCUAAUCUGCAAAUUUGUGAGGAGUUUCCUUUUACACUUGUUUUUUUUAUUGUAGGUAGGUUAAAUUAAAUUAAAAUAAUAAUUUUUUUAUCACACUAUAUUUGAGAUAUUUGAAUGCCCUACACUCGAUUAUAUUGUUACGAUUUGGGGUACGUGGGCUAGUACUAUGUCGUCAGUAUUGAAAUUAUGCUGAAAUGAUUAUUUUUGCCUACAUUUUAUUUGAAAAUUUUCAAUGAUUUAAGGUUAUGACCCUGUUGGAUUGUGUGUUGUGGUUGUAGGCCGGUUGUUGCCUUCAUAUGUAAAGCAUGUAGAGUUCAUGGAUUAAAAAAAAAAUAUCAUCUUUACACCUUAAACAAGUAGACUAUGUUGCUACACACAUGUUUUCGAGGCAUAAAAAACAGUGCCUUUACAAAAAAAAAAAAAAAAAACAAUAGGCAUCUUUACAUGUUUUCUGUCUUUACAAAAAUAUCUAACAUCAUUUUCUAAAUUCCUCAUUGUAGGAACUGAUCCAUUAGCCCUUCCACACAAAGCAUUGAAGCAUUUUCAAAUAUGUAAAUUAUGCACUCUUCUACUAAGUUAAGUGGCACUUCCAAGUUAGUUAGGAGUAGUUGAUCCACUCUCUAGUGCAUCUUUUUUCAUACGUAGUAUCCUGUAGGCAUUGUGGCCCAUUUUAUUCCGUGAUUUCUUGCAUUGUAGCCUUGCAAGCUCAUGAAUACUUUGUUUAAAGUAUGCAGAGAUAGUUGUGCAUAUGAUUCAUCAAUUGCAUUGAUCAAUUGGUCAACAUUAUAGCAUGUUGAUUCAAUUUAAAUACUUUGAAUAACUCUAAAUCAUCUCAGAUCAUUCACAUUUGUGUCAGGUGAAUUUUGGAGUUGAUGAACUAUUCUAAUGUCAAAGCUAUCUUCAGAGGUUGUAGCCCUAGGGUCUGGGUCCUGAAUGUGAGACUUUGCAUUAUCUUAUUGAAUGAAGAUCAUCUUGCAUGCAUUUGCAUGCCACUUUGACCUUAUUACUGGUAAUUAAUAAGGUGUGAAAACAAAUUUCAUUGCAUACACCACUAAAGAGCAGCAUUACAUUGCAUACAAAUUAUAGGGUCUUUCCAUACCUUAUUGAUAAAGCAUACCUUGAUUACAUCCUUGGUAAGUGAUUGAAUAGACUUUGUUUCAAGUGUCCCCAAAGGCCUGUUUUUAUUGUUUCUUUGGGCUAGAACUUGAUGUGUAGAUGGGAAGAUAUCUAUCUUAUGCGGUUAGCCGCGUUUUUGAAUAAGUGGGAGAGUGAUUAAGUCAUGGUCGAAGAUAGUAUGGGACAAUUCAAUUAUUUAAAAAUAACUAUUAACGACAAAUUAUUUAUUUAUCUAUUGAUAUGUCUUUAAAUUAAUUAUAAAAAAAAGGACCACAAGGCUAUUACUAAUUUAUAGAACCGUGACUUUUAAAAAAAAUUGUCUUCCAUCAAUUACCCAAAUUCCAUUAUUAGAUUAUAUCAUAAAAUAAAUUCCAAAACACAUUAAAACUUUCAAACUCUUCAAAUAAUACUCCAUCAGCGAAGUGGAGUUAAAAGUGGGGUGAGUUGGAGCUACUUUCAUCCAAUUCCCUAUUUUUUCGAUUUAUUAGAGAUGGUGGGAUUUCUUCAUAUCAAUCUCUUAACAAUCAUAGAUUCAUUCGUAUAUUUAAAUGAAAUAAAGAGCAGCACAACUCAUUUUUCUUUUCAUUAUAUCUGUUUAGCUAUUCAUUGGUCUGCCAACCCAGCGAGGUGGGAUCACCAUAGCCUACGAAGCGCAUGCCAAAUAGAGAUCCCAUCUACGACUGCAUUAUCCAUAUUUUGGUCCUCAUCUUAUUAUUGUUCCCAAUGUUGUAUUUGUAAACUGGAAGGUAAGGGCUCAUUGUUGUACCUAUUUGAAUUCUUAGAUGGGAUCUAACUGUGAUGGUGAAUGAAUUUCAUUAAAGUUGAUUAUUUUUUGGAAGGUAAGGGGCCUAAGGGCCCAUUGUUGUGUUUGUUCCCAAUGUUUCUCUUUGUCUCGUUUUGAUGAUGUCUAAUAUGUCGAAACAUUUUUACUUCCAAGUGGGGUGGUGAAAAAGAAGAUAAGUUCUUUGCUACAGAUUCCAUUCUUGCGCUUUAUGUGCCUGAGUUGGAAAUAACUGAAGCAGAUUGUCAAGAUGCAAUUAACCAAUACGUUGGAUUAUUUUUCGUCAACGAAGCUUCAUAGAGUAAAAUUGUUUGAUCAAUUGUGUAGUGUUAUUAUGUAAAGCUUGUAGUUGUGACAUAAAUAAUGUGCUUUGAUAUUAUUAAUAAAGUAAAUAUUUUUAUAUAA